rnacentral:rRNA from 1 species
UACGUAGGGUGCAAGCGUUGUCCGGAAUUAUUGGGCGUAAAGAGCUCGUAGGCGGUCUGUCGCGUCGGCUGUGAAAUCUCGGGGCUCAACCCCGAGCCUGCAGUCGAUACGGGCAGACUAGAGUGCUGUAGGGGAGACUGGAAUUCCUGGUGUAGCGGUGAAAUGCGCAGAUAUCAGGAGGAACACCGGUGGCGAAGGCGGGUCUCUGGGCAGCAACUGACGCUGAGGAGCGAAAGCGUGGGGAGCGAACAGG